UACGAAGGGGGCUAGCGUUGUUCGGAAUCACUGGGCGUAAAGCGCACGUUAGGCGGAUUUUUAAGUCAGGGGGUGAAAUCCCGAGGCUCAACCUCGGAACUGCCUUUGAUACUGAGGAUCUGGAGUCCGGGAGAGGUGAGCGGAACUGCGAGUGUAGAGGUGAAAUUCGUAGAUAUUCGCAAGAACACCAGUGGCGAAGGCG
rnacentral:rRNA from 1 species